UGGGGAAUCUUUGACAAUGGGGGAAACCCUGAUCUAGCCAUGCCGCGUGUGUGACGAAGGCCCUAGGGUCGUAAAGCACUUUCGCCGGGGAAGAUAAUGACUGUACCCGGUAAAGAAGUCCCGGCUAACUCCGUGCCAGCAGCCGCGGUAAUACGGAGGGGACUAGCGUUGUUCGGAAUUACUGGGCGUAAAGCGCGCGUAGGCGGGCUGGUCAGUCAGGGGUGAAAUCCCGGGGCUCAACCCCGGAACUGCCCUUGAUACUGGAUGUCUGGAGUUCGAGAGAGGUGAGUGGAAUUCCGAGUGUAGAGGUGAAAUUCGUAGAUAUUCGGAGGAACACCAGUGGCGAAGGCGGCUCACUGGCUCGAUACUGACGCUGAGGUGCGAAAGUGUGGGGAGCAAACAGGAUUAGAUACCCGUGUAGUCC
rnacentral:rRNA from 1 species